CCUACGGGAGGCAGCAGUGGGGAAUAUUGGGCAAUGGGCGCGAGCCUGAACCAGCAACGCCGCGUGAAGGAAGAAGGCUUUCGGGUUGUCAACUUCUUUUCUCAGGGGCACAGCAAGUGACGGUCCCUGAGUAAUAAGCCACGGCUAAAUACGUGCCAGCAGCCGCGGUAAUACGUCGGUGGCAAUCGUUCUACGGAUUUGCGUGGUGUAAAGAGCGUGUAGGCGGGAAGGCAAGUCAGAUGUGCAAACCAUGGGCUCAACCUGUGGCCUGCAUUUGAAACUGUUGGUCUUGAGUACUGGAGAGGCAGACGGAAUUCGUAGUGUAGCGGUGAAAUGCGUAGAUAUUAGGAGGAACACCAGUGGCGAAGGCGGUCUGCUGGACAGCAACUGACGCUGAGGCGCGAAAGCGUGGGGAGCAAACAGGAUUAGAUACCCGUGUAGUC
rnacentral:rRNA from 1 species